rnacentral:rRNA from 1 species
AACUUUCAACAACGGAUCUCUUGGUUCUGGCAUCGAUGAAGAACGCAGCAAAAUGCGAUAAGUAAUGUGAAUUGCAGAAUUUAGUGAAUCAUCGAAUCUUUGAACGCACAUUGCGCCCGCCAGUAUUCUGGCGGGCAUGCCUGUUCGAGCGUCAUUU